rnacentral:tRNA from 1 species
GGGGAUGUAGCUCAGAUGGGAGAGCGCAGCCUUCGCAAGGCUGAGGUCAGGGGUUCGAUCCCCCUCAUCUCCACCA